GUAUAGAUUAUUCCGAGCAAAUGGUUUCUUAUGCCACCACAAUUAGAAAAGGAAUCAAACGGUACAGAAAACUUGGCAUUCGACUCCUUCUGGGAAUUUCUGUUGUAAACGCUUUGAAGGUUUACAAAAUUGCAACAAGGGAGAAUAUAAAUAUUAGAAUAUUUAGACAAUUAUUAGUUGGAAAAUUAUUAGGUCCUUGCCUUCGACGGAGUCAACAUAACAUCGCCGUUCGGAAAAAUGAUUCCGGAAGAAGCAUUAGACGCGCAU
rnacentral:misc_RNA from 1 species